CUGCUGCCCGUGGCCGUGGGGGACGCCGAGGGGGAGCAGAGCGAGGGCGAGGCCGAGUACUCUGAGCACCUCAAGGUCUUCGUCGGAUACUAGUAGUCGUUACGUCCAAGGGAUGUGGCUCCGUUCAAGAUUCCGGCGUCAGUUGCGUGCUGGUUGGGGGUCCAUCGCCAAGGUGAAGGGGAGAUUUACUUGCUCAUCCGCUCUUUGAUUCGUUUCCCGGUCUUCAUUUCGUCUCUUCAAAACUGCAGGCUAGGUGUUUGUGGAAUUGCCUGCCUCCUUUGCAACUGCAACGGCAACGCCAGCAAAGUAAGGAACGCUAAGGCUAGGCAGAACAAGGAAAGGGAAGGAUGACCAUGCUGUGGGGGCUGGCGGCGUACAUGGUGUGGGCGGUGCUCGCCGGGUGGGUGUCGGCAUGCCUGCUGGUCGCCAACGAGAUCGCCCGCGGCAUGCGGGCCGGGGAGAUUGGCCCCUUCGUCGUGGGGUGAAUCUCACUUCGGGAAUCCUCCCUUCUGACUCCUUCAUGCAGGUGCUCUGCUCUGAACCUUCUGCUCUAGUUUCUUUGCUAGUAAAUUGAUGAACAUGGGGAUACAUUUUUUGCUUACCCUAUCUGCUCUGUAUCCUGAAAUACACGUCGGCUAUGUGUUAAUUGGCUUUGAGAUUUGUGUUUGCCAAAUAUAUUCAAGUACCUAACAAGAGGCUAAUGAGAGACUUUAUACAGAGUAGUUUUAUCUACAUCAGUUAUCGUGUAUUAGGGAGAACUGAUACAUUUUUCCAAGUCAUUUCUGUCAUGAUUAGGAUAGAGACUUCAGAGUCAGGACGUUUUGUUUUAGUGUAGUGUCAGGUUGUCCAAGGGAUUUGGAAUUGUUGCUGUGUAGAUUGUGUCCUCCAGGAUAGGAUAAGGUACUGUAAAUUUUUCUCGGCAUGAAGUAAGUUGGAGUUUGUUCAGUACUUCAGAGGCCUCGUAAAUCACUACAACAAGUGAAUGCUCAAUUGUACCAGAGCUGCGCAUGGACGUGGAGUUGUUAUACUGGUAUAGGUUAUUUUUCUUCUGGAUAAGAUAAGAUGUUGUAAAAUAGUCUCGGCUUGAACUAAGUUCAAAUUGGUUCAGUAAAUCACUACGCAAAUGAAUGCUCCAUUGCAGCAGAGCUGCACAUGGACGUGGAGUUUUUAUACAAUGGAUAACCAAGUAUUCUGCUAGGGUUAAAUUUAAUUAAGAAUGCUGUUCUGCACUUUUGCUUAUUUUACGAUCCUCCUUUUGCCCAUUUUAUUUCCUUAGGCAAUGUACUCUGAUUCAGCCAGGACAUCACACGACCGUGCUCUGUUUCUUCUGAGGUCCAGCCUGAUUCGAGCUUCCUGGACAGCCACAAGGCAUGCCUUGGCCGCCAUUGAGCAGAAUGCCGCUGGUGGCCAGCGGCGACAAAGUGCCGUCUCAGCGGACAAGGGAGUAUCAAGCGAGACAUCAUCAUCAUCAAGCGAGCAUGGGAGUUUUUCCUGCAAGCAAGUAUCUCAUUAUCCUUACCUUCAUCUGAACCACACUUGCAUUUUUAAAUCUUUGGAGAUGGCGUAGGAUAAGGCCCAGAUGAACGCUUGUGGAAAUAUUACAGCCCCACUGUUAGGAGUACAAGUUUAGUCCUGACAGACUGGGCGUAAGUGGAUUGGUUUGCCUUUUGAUUAGUAUAAGUAGAUGGUAGCAGACCUGGACAAAUAACAUUGGAUCUUAAUAUCUCAUGACAUUGAGUAGAGGACAAGAGAUCGGAUGAGUCUUGUUGUCACAUGUGGUUCGGAUGGUCAAAGUAGAUGAUAGUUGGAUCCGAGCACCCAAUCAGUGAUGCUCUGCCGCCCGAUUUAAAAUGGUCAUAUAGAGUCAUAUUUUGCUCUAAGUAUUGUUGUAAUUCUUGAGUUGUAAAUCAAUAAAAGUGUGAUGAUCUUCAUUAUUAGAGGAUUGUCCCAAGUAAGGAAAGGAUGAUGAAGACUAUGAUUUCCCCACAAGUCGGUAUGAGACUUCGGACUUUACAAAAAUAAAAGAGGCCAAAGAAGCCCACGAAAAAAGGAAAAAAAGAAAGAGAAAAAAAGGAAAAAAGGAAAAAAAAAGGGAAAAAAGAAAGAAAGAAAGAAAAAUGAGAGAAAAGAGAGAAGGGGCAAUGCUACUAUCCUUUUUACCACACUUGUGCUUCAAAGCAGCACUAUGAUCUUCAUAAUAGAGAGUCUCCUAUGUUGUCACUUUCAUAUACUAGUGAGAAUUUUUCAUUAUAGAACUUGGCUUGUACUCCCUCCGUUCCUAAAUAUAAGUCUUUCUAGAGAUUGCACCAAGUGACUACAUACGGAGCAAAAUGAAUAAAUCUACAUUUUAAAAUAUGUCUGUAUACAUCCAUAUGUUGUAUUCUAUUUGAAAUGUCUAAAAAGGCUUAUAUUUAGGAACGGAGGGAGUAUAUUCCAAUGAUGGGUUCCUCAAAAUGCCCUAGGUCUUCGUGAGCAAGCAAGUUGGAUGCACACCCACUUAGUUUCUUUUGUUGAGCUUUCAUACAUUUAUAGCUCUAGUACAUCCGUUGCAUGGCAAUCCCUACUCACUCACAUUGAUAUCUAUAAACGGGCAUCUUCAUAGCUCGUUGAUAUGCCUAGUUGAUGUGAGACUAUCUUCUCUCUUUUUGUCUUCUCCACAACCACCAUUCUAUUCCACAUGUAGUGCUAUGUCCAUGGCUUACGCUCAUGUAUUGCGUGAAAGUUGAAAAAGGUUUGAGAUUACUAAAGUAUGAAACAAUUGCUUGGCUUGUCAUCGGGGUUGUGCAUGGUUAAAUACUUUGUGUGAUCAAGAUAGAGCAUAGCCAGACUAUAUGAUUUUGUAGGGAUAACUUUCUUUAGCCAUGUUAUUUUGAGAAGACAUGAUUGCUUUAUUAGUAUGCUUGAAGUAUUAUUAUUUCUUAUGUCAAUAUGAACUUUUAUUUUGAAUCAUUUGGAACUGAACAUUCAUGCCACAAUAAAGAAAACUACAUUGAGAAUUAUGCUAGGUAGCAUUCCACAUCAAAAAUUCUGUUUUUAUCAUUUACCUACUUGAGGACGAGCAGGAAUUAAGCUUGGGGAUGCUUGAUAUGUCUCCAACGUAUCUAUAAUUUUCGAUUGUUCCAUGCUAUUAUAUUACCCGUUUUGGAUGUUUAUGGGCUUUACUUUACACUUUUAUAUCAUUUUUGGGACAAACCUACUAGCGGAGGCCCAACCCGAAUUGCUGUUUUUUUGUCUAUUUCAGUGUUUCGAAGAAAAGGAAUAUCAAACGGAGUCCAAACGGAAUGAAACCUUCGGCAGCGAUCUUUUUGGAACGUGAUCCAGAGGACUUGGAGUGGAAGUCAAGAAACAAAUGAGGCGGCCACGAGGGUGGAGGGCGCGCCCCCCUACUGGGUGCGCCCCCCUGUCUCAUGGGCCCCUCGAGCGUCCACCGACCUACUUCUUCCUCCUAUAUAUACCCAUGUACCCCGAAAACAUCAGAAGCGACCACGAAAAACUAUUUCCAUCGCCGUAACCUUCUGUAUCCGCGAGAUCCCAUCUUGGAGCCUUCGCCGGCGCUCCGCCGGAGGGGGAAUCGAUCAUGGAGGGCUUCUACAUCAACACCAUAGCCCUUCCGAUGAGUUGUGAGUAGUUUACCACAGACCUUCGAGUCCAUAGUUAUUAGCUAGAUGGCUUCUUCUCUCUCUUUGAAUCUCAAUACAAAGUUCUCCUCGAUCUUCUUGGAGAUCUAUUUGAUGUAACUCUUUUUGCGGUGUGUUUGUCGAGAUCCGAUGAAUUGUGGGUUUAUGAUCAAGUUUAUCUAUGAGAAAUAUUUGAAUCUCCUCUGAAUUCUUUUAUGUGUGAUCAAGUUAUCUUUGCAAGUCUCUUCGAAUUAUCAAUUUGGUUUGGCCUACUAGAUUGAUCUUUCUUGCAAUGGGAGAACUGCUUAGCUUUGGGUUCAAUCUUGCGGUGUCCUUUCCCAGUGACAGCAGGGGCAGCAAGGCACGUAUUGUAUUGUUGCCAUCGAGGAUAAAAAUAUGGGGUUUAUAUCAUAUUGCAUGAGUUUAUCCCUCUACAUCAUGUCAUCUUUCUUAAUGCGUUACUCUGUUCUUUAUGAACUUAAUACUCUAGAUGCAUGCUGGAUAGCGGUCGAUGUGUGGAGUAAUAGUAGUAGAUGCAAAAUCGUUUCGAUCUACUUGUCACGGACAUGAUGCCUAUAUACAUGAUCAUGCCUAGAUAAUCUCAUAAUUAUUCGCUUUUCUAUCAAUUGCUCGACAGUAAUUUGUUGACCCACGGUAAUACUUAUGCUAUCUUGAGAGAAGCCACUAGUGAAACCUAUGGUCCCCCGGGUCUAUCUUUUAUCAUAUAAGUUUUCAAUCUACUUUUAUUUGCAUCUUUUACUUUUUCAAUCUAUAUCAUAAAAAUACCAAAAAUAUUAUCUUAUCAUAUUAUCUCUAUCAGAUCUCACUUUCGCAAGUGGCCGUGAAGGGAUUGACAACCCCUUUAUUGCGUUGGUUGCGAGUUCUUGUUUGUUUGUGUAGGUGCGUGGGACUUUUGAGGAGCCUCCUACUGGAUUGAUACCUUGGUUCUCAAAAACUAAGGGAAAUAGUUAUGCUACUGUGCUGCAUCAUCCUUUCCUCUUCAAGGAAAACCAACGAAAGCUCAAGACGUGGCAGUCAACAAAAGUAAUAUUAGGACACCCAAACCCCUUGAGCAAAUUAAAGUUGAACCUAGUAUUGCUAUGGUUAAAUAUAUCUUGGCUGAUAAUAUUGAAGGGCAUGUUAUUUACUUCUGCAAUGAAGCUGCUAGAAUUGCUAGAGCUGAUGCUAAAAAUAAACAUAGACCUGCUGUAGGCAUGCCUGUUAUUUCUGUUAAAAUAGGAGAUCAUUGUUAUCAUGGCUUAUGGGAUAUGGGUGCUAGUGCAAGUGCAAUACCUCAUUCCUUAUACAAAGAAAUUAUGCAUGAUAUUGCACCUGCUGAGUUAGAGGAAAUUGAUGUCACAAUUAAGCUUUCCAAUAGAGAUACUAUUUCACCAGUCGGGAUUGUUAGAGAUGUUGAAGUCUUGUGUGGGAAAGUUAAAUAUCCUACUGAUUUUCUUGUUCUUGGUUCCCCACAAGAUGACUUUUGUCCCAUUAUAUUUGGUAGACCCUUCUUGAAUACUGUUAAUGCUAGGAUAGAUUGCAAAAAGGAUGUUGUUAUUAUUGGUUUGGGUGAUAUGUCUCAUGAGUUUAAUUUUGGUAAAUUUCGUAGACAACCCCAUGAUAAAGAAAUGUCUAGUAAAGAUGAGAUUAUUGGUCUUGCUUCUAUUGCCGUGCCCCCUAAUGAUCCUUUAGAACAAUAUUUGCUCGACCAUGAAAAUGAUAUGUUUAUGAAUGAAAGAAGGGAAAUAGAUGAAGUAUUCUUUAAUCAGGGGCCUAUUUUGAAACACAACUUGCUUGUUGAAAUCCUAGGGGAUCCUCCGCCACCCAAGGGUGAUCCCGUGUUUGAGCUUAAACCAUAACCUGAUACUCGUAAAUAUUCUUAUCUUGAUGAAAAGAAGAUAUAUCCUGUUAUUAUUAGUGCUAACCUUUCAGAGCAUGAAGAAAAGAAAUUAUUGAAAACUCUGAAGAAGCACCGUGCUGCUAUUGGAUAUACUCUUGAUGAUCUUAAGGGCAUUAGUCCCACUCUAUGCCAACACAAAAUAAAAUUGCAGAAAGAUGCUAAACCGGUUGUUGAUCACCAACGACAGUUAAAUCCUAAGAUGAAAGAAGUGGUAAGAAAAGAAAUACUAAAGCUUUUGGAGGCAGGUAUAAUUUAUCUCGUUGCUGAUAGUCAGUGGGUAAGUCAUGUCCACUGUGUCCCUAAGAAGGGAGGUAUUACUGUUGUCCUAAUGAUAAAGAUGAAUUGAUCCGGAAAGAAUUGUUACAGGUUAUAGAAUGGUAAUUGAUUUCCGCAAACUAAAUAAAGCUACAAAAAAGGAUAAUUACCCUUUACCCUUUGUUGAUCAAAUGCUAGAAAGAUUAUCUAAAAAUACACAUUUUUGCUUUCUAGAUGGUUAUUCUGGUUUCUCUCAAAUACCUGUGUCAAAAGAGGAUCAAGAAAAGACCACUUUUACUUGCCCUUUCGGUACUUUUGCUUAUAGACCUAUGCCUUUUGGUUUAUGUAAUGCACCUGCUACCUUUCAAAGAUGCAUGAUGGCUAUAUUCUCUGACUUUUGUGAAAAGAUUGUUGAGGUUUUCAUGGAUGACUUCUCUGUCUAUGGAUCUUCUUUUGAUGAUUGCUUAAGCAACCUUGAUCGAGUUUUGCAGAGAUGUGAAGAAACUAAUCUUGUCUUGAACUAGGAGAAGUGCCACUUUAUGGUUAAUGAAGGUAUUGUCUUGGGGCAUAAAAUUUCUGAAAGAGGUAUUGAAGUUAAUAAAGCUAAAGUUGAUGCUAUUGAAAAGAUAACGUGUCCCAAGGACAUUAAAGGUAUAGGAAGUUUCCUUGGUCAUGCCGGUUUUUAUAGGAGGUUCAUUAAGGACUUCUCAAAAAUUUCUAGGCCUCUGACUAAUCUCUUACAAAAAGAUAUUCCUUUUGUCUUUGAUGAUGAUUGUGUAGAAGCAUUCAAAAUACUUAAGAAAGCUUUGAUUUCUGCAGCUAUUGUUCAGCCACCUGAUUGGAAUUUACCCUUUGAAAUUAUGUGUGAUGCUAGUGAUUAUGCCGUAGGUGCUGUUUUAGGGAAAAGAGUUGAUAAGAAAUUAAAUGUUAUCCAAUAUGCUAGUAAAACUCUAGACAGUGCCUAGAGAAAUUAUGCUACUACUGAAAAAGAAUUUUUAGCAGUUGUAUUUGCUUGUGAUAAGUUCAGACCUUACAUUGUUGACUCUAAAGUAACUGUUCACACUGAUCAUGCUGCUAUUAAAUAUCUUAUGGAAAAGAAAGAUGCUAAACCUAGACUUAUUAGAUGGCUUCUCUUACUACAAGAAUUUGAUUUGCAUAUUAUUGAUAGAAAGGGAGCUAAGAACCCCGUUGCAGACAACUUGUCUAGGUUAGAGAAUGUUCUUGAUGACCCACUACCUAUUGAUGAUAGCUUUCCUGAUGAACAAUUAGCUGUCAUAAAUGCUUCUCGUACUGCUCCAUGGUAUGCUUAUUAUGCUAAUUACAUCGUUGCUAAAUUUAUACCACCUAGUUUCACAUACCAGCAAAAGAAAAAGUUUUUCUAUGAUUUAAGACAUUACUUCUGGGAUGACCCACACCUUUAUAAAGAAGGAGUAGAUGGUGUUAUUAGACGUUGUGUACCUGAGCAUGAACAGGAACAGAUCCUACGCAAGUGUCACUCCGAAGCUUAUGGAGGACACCACGCUGGAGAUAGAACUGCACAUAAGGUAUUGCAAUCCGUUUUUUAUCGGCCUAUCCUCUUCAAGGAUGCCCGUAAGUUUGUCUUGUCUUGCGAUGAAUGUCAAAGAAUUGGUAAUAUUAAUUGUCAGGGAAAUGACACCUAUGGGAUCACUGGAAUCCCUUCUAUGGUUGGCGGGCGCAGGGUUGGGAGAAGAGCAGGUCUAACAGGAAGCACACGGAUCGUUUACCAAGGUUCGGGCUGCGAGGAUGCGUAAUACCCUAGUCCUACUUUGGUGGGUGUAUUGAGUGUUCUUGAGCUAGCUAUGGGGUGUAACUUGCCCAAAAGAGCCGAAUCCCUCUCCUGGUCGCCUCGGGCCUCCUUUUAUAGGCAAAAGGGGUUGCCACAGUGGCACACAGGAGGUGGAAAGGUCUACAGCGCGCGAGCUUAUCGCCCGGCGUUACAGGACAAAGCGCAUUAAAUGUGCUACUUAGGUGUCCAUUAGCUUUAUUGGGACGGGGACGAGGCCCGUCCCGUCCGUCGCCGCUCCGCUUCGCUUUGACACGCGCCCAGGCCAGCGACGUGUGCGGUGCCAUGUAGGCAGGCAGGCAGCUGAGGUGGCGCGGUGGCAGGGCCUUCACGAAGAUAUGCAUGCCAUCACGCAGGUGCUUGCCGAGUUGGUGUAGAGGCCGCCCGUCGCCACGCAGGUGCCUGCCCAGCUGGUUGAGCUAGCAGCUGCUUGGGGACGGCGGUGGAUUCUUGGCUGGUGCGGGCCUGGCAGUGGCCCCGCUGAUGUCCUCGGCAAGGGCCUUGCCGGGGGCCUGGCAAGGGUCUUGUCGUGGCGUCGCAGUCGUCCCUGGCAAGGCGCUUGCCGGGGGUCUUGUGGAUCUCCUCGGCUAGGAUCCCGCCAAGGGUCGCCGUCUUCUGGUCCUCAUCUGAUCUUGUGUGUUUAUGAUCUUGACAAAGAUCUGCACGCCACCUCAGAGGUGCCUCCCGAGCCUUGGUUCCAACGUAGUCGUUGGCGGCGUUUGGAACUCUUGGGCUCGAGGGUGGCUCACUCUACUGGUACUGGGCAAGUUCCCCCAACAAGGCUCUUGCCGGGGCCGCGGAGGCCACCCUGGCAAGGGCCUUGCCGGGGGAGUCCACCUCGCCCCUUUGCUCUCCUGUGUUUCUGGUCUUGGCGUUGCCCCGGUUGCCUUGCGCUUCGGCUUCUCUCCGGCUUCCCUCUUCUGCCCUGCUAGGUGUGUCCGUGGCGCGCGGCUCUGACUGCCCGUGCACAAGUAAAGGGGUCAAAAGGAGAGCCCCUACUUUUGUACACCGACAGGAGCCCCCGGGCCUGGGCCACACCUAAGCGUGACGCGUUGUUGAGCCAGGCCCAGAACGGUGCGCGGGCGGGUGGGGCGGAUUUCACCGUAGUAACCGUUUCGUCCACUGCGCUUCCCCACGACCCGCGUUGAAUGCGCGACAUGGAGGAUCGCGCGUGACAUGGGGGUCGUGCGUGGGGCAGUUCCUGCACGCUUGUGUCACAUCGCAGUUAAUGGGAAAAGAGGCGGCCCGCGCCUUCCCCAUAAAAAGGAAUAACUGCGGGCGCGCUGCUCAUUUACCCCUGCAUCUUCUCCAAUCUCGGAACUGCCGUCCCCUUCUCCUUCCUUCCCAAGCUUUCGCCUUUGCUCGCCGCCACUGUGUCUUCGCUGUCUUCUGUCCCUUGCUCCCCGCAGCCGCCAUGGCACCCAAGACUAGCAGAGGCAAGGGAGUGGCCAAGGACGCCUGGACGAGCGAGCCACCGAAGAGCAAGUUGGCGGCGCGGCGGACGCAGCUCGCCUACUUCCCCUCAACGGUCGACGUGUUCGAGCUCCGGGACUGCUUCAAGCCCCUAUGGGGGUGCAAGACGGGGGGGGGGAGACAACGGAGCAUCCAGCCACGCGUAUCAUCCCCGCCAAUUGCAGCGAGGCCACCCCGAAUCGGUACCCGUUCUUCGUCGAUUACUUUUCUUGCGGCUUUUGCCCCCUUUCUCCGAUUUCUUCAACGAUAUCAUGCACACAUUUGGCUUCCACCUUCUGGAUUUUACUCCAAACGCCGUGGCGUGCAUGGCUCUGUUCGCCCACCUCUGUGAGGGCUUCGCCGGAGUUCUUCCCAACACGGCGCUCUUCCGACAUUAUUUUUACCCUCGCAUCCAGAAGGGGGCGCCAUUUCUGACUGUGUCACCUGGAUCCCAAGGUCCCAAGGGACGUACCCAGAGGGUGCCCAGAAGGAGAGGUGGGAAGAAUGGCGGGGCCAGUGGUGCUGGAUCGAGGACGACGAUCCACAAGAGUUCUGUCGGGUCCGCCAGGCGCCGCCGGUCCGCAGGAACAACUGGGGCGACGUCGACGCCCAGGACGACAAGCUCGAGAUCGCCACCACUAGGAUUCUCCGCCUCACCGCUGCCGGGCUUACCCUGGAUAUGAUUGGGGCAGAUUUCCUACGCCGCCGAAUCGCCCCUUUGCACAACAAGGGGAGGCCGGCCUGGCUUUUCCAGAACGCGGUUGACAUCAUGAGGCUCUGCCCCGGCCUCAAUCACAACUUCACGGUGAUGGGGCACGCUCACUUUUCCCAGCGGAUCUUUCAGCUCGACGUGAACCGUGAAGGCUGGGCCGAGAGGUCCGGGAAGGCUGCGAAGGCUGGCAAGGUCGUCAAGGGGCCCUUGUUUGGGUUGCCGGCGGGGGUGGUCCCUCUGAGCAACAACUCGCGCCAGACCGACAUCAUCGCCAUGAUGCCGGACUGCAACGCGCACGGUCCUGUCCAAAAUUGGGCCCCGCCACCGGAGGAGCAGGUGCAGGAGUUCUUUGAUGGGUUGGCGGAGAUAUACGUCUGCAAGGAGCCACUGCUUAUCCAGGACACCACUAAGGCAGAGCUGGAUUAUAUCGCCGCCAGGGCGGUGGAGGCGGAGCUUGUCAGGGAGGCCGACAGUGCUGGCGGCGUAGAGGACGAGGCCGCAGUGGCCGCGGAGGAGAAGGAGCUUACCCAGUGGGCGGAGUCCACUGGGGAAGCCAGCCGCGCCGGCACCGGGGCCCCUCUUGUCGAAGAUGUGCUCGACGAGUCGUCGGAGGAGGAGGCCGAGGCUGUCGAUCCUCCGGACACGGGGAGAGGGCGAGUCCUGCGGCGGGCCACCUCUGGCGAGCCGGUUCGGCCCGGCAGGGUCGUGCAGCCCUGGCAAGCUCAGGAGGCGUCCGCGCGCCAAACGAGGGCCGCGGCUGCGAAGAAAUCAAUGAAGGCUGCGGUGGCGAAGGAGAAAGCAUCUGCCUCUCCUUCAUCCAAGCGCGCCCAGACUCCGCCCUCCUCCCCUCCCCCGGCAGACGUCGACGCGGAGGUCACCUUUGACUUCGGGUCCCUCAGCCCAAGGAGGAAGAGGAAAGCAGCAGAGGAGGUGGAGGACGAGUAAGUAUCUUGUCCCUUUCUGUCAUCUCCGUAUCCUCGGAUCGUGCCACUUAUCUUGAUUCAUUUUCACUUUUGCAGGGAUGCGGAGACACUGGCCCGGAGGGUGAAGAGGGACAGGGCUUCGGCGAGUGGCCAGCCCCCGGCAGGGACUUCCGGUACACCGCUGGUGGUGUUGAGCAGCCCGGAUAGCAGCCCCCGGCACAGCCCUCAGCAGAAGUUCACUCACCCCUCGUCGACGUGUGUUGGGGGCACGAUCUCUUGGUGCUGACCUUGCCGUGGUUGCAGGAGGAGGACAGUAGUAGGAGGAGCCACAGAGGGCUACCCCCAACACGCCGCCCCCAUCAACCACGCCGCCCCGGGGGGCGUCCCCGGCAAGGGCGUCAACCACGCCGCCCCGGGGGGCAUCCCCGGCGCUGGUGGCUUCGCCUCGGCACCAAAUGUUGGCGGGGAGGGGACCUCUGCUUCUCAGCCCGGCACGGGUAAGUCACUCGCCUUCCAUCCCUGUUCUUUUUCUUUCCUUUCUAAAUCUUGGCCUUGGCUUUGCCUCAUCCCCUUCUCGUUAUCCAGAUCCCCCCUCGGCGGACCCAGAGGAAAUAGACACCGUCAUCGGGGACGUUGCCAAGGCUGCCGAGGCGGAGGCCGAGAAGAUCGCUGCUGAGGAGGCCACCAAGGGCGCUACCGAGGACGCCGCCAAGGGGCCUGCCGGGGAGCCCGGUAAGGCUGCUGCCGAGGAGGCCGACAAGGGGUCUGUCGGGGAGGCCGGCAAGUCCGCUGCCGAGGAGGAGCUGGUCGAUGACCAGCCUUCCUCCUUGCUACGUCUUGAGCUUGCGUUGGUUUUCCUUGAAGAGGAAAGGGUGAUGCAGCAAUAGUAGCGCAAGUAUUUCCCUCAGUUUUUGAGAACCAAGGUAUCAAUCCAGUAGGAGGCUCCUCAAAAGUCCCACGCACCUACACAAACAAACAAGAACUCGCAACCAACGCAUUAAAGGGGUUGUCAAUCCCUUCACGACCACUUGCAAAAUUGAGAUCUGAUAGAGAUAAUAUGAUAAGAUAAAUAUAUUUUUGGUAUUUUAUAAUAUGGAUUUGAAAAGUAAAGAUGCAAAUAAAAGUAGAUGGCAAACUUAUAUGAUAAAAGAUAGACCCGGGGCCAUAGGUUUCAAUAGUGGCUUCUCUCAAGAUAGCAUAAGUGUUACGGUGGGUGAACAAAUUACUGUCGUUCAAUUGAUAGGAAAGCGACUAAUUAUGAGAUUAUCUAGGCAUGAUCAUGUAUAAAGGCAUCACGUCCGUGACAAGUAGACCGAAAUGAUUCUGCAUCUACUACUAUUACUCCACACAUCCACCGCUAUCCAGCAUGCAUCUAGAGUAUUAAGUUCAUAAAGAACAGAGUAAUGCAUUAAGAAAGAUGACAUGAUGUAGAGGGAUAAACUCAAGCAAUAUGAUAUAAACCCCAUCUUUUUAUCCUCGAUGGCAACAAUACAAUACGUGCCUUGCUGCCCCUGCUGUCACUGGGAAAGGACACCGCAAGAUUGAACCCAAAGCUAAGCACUUCUCCCAUUGCAAGAAAGAUCAAUCUAGUAGGCCAAACCAAACUGAUAAUUCGAAGAGACUUGCAAAGAUAACUUAAUCACACACAAAAGAAUUCAGAGGAGAUUCAAAUAUUUCUCAUAGAUAAACUUGAUCAUAAACCCACAAUUCAUCGGAUCUCGACAAACACACCGCAAAAAGAGUUACAUCGAAUAGAUCUCCAAGAAGAUUGAGGAGAACUUUGUAUUGAGAUUCAAAGAGAAAGAAGAAGCCAUCUAGCUAAUAACUAUGGACCCGAAGGUCUGUGGUAAACUACUCAAAACUCAUCGGAAGGGCUAUGGUGUUGAUGUAGAAGCCUUCCGUGAUCGAUUCCCCCUCCGGCGGAGCGCCGGCGAAGGCUCCAAGAUGGGAUCUCGCGGAUACAGAAGGUUACGGCGGUGGAAAUAGUUUUUCAUGGGCGCUUUUGAUGUUUUCGGGGUACAUGGGUAUAUAUAGGAGGAAGAAGUAGGUCGGUGGACGCUCGAGGGGCCCACGAGAUAGGGGGCACACCUAGUAGGGGGGGCGCCCUCCACCCUCGUGGCCGCCUCAUUUGUUUCUUGACUUCCACUCCAAGUCCUCUGGAUCACGUUUGUUCCAAAAAUAUUGCUCCCGAAGGUUUCAUUCCAUUUGGACUCCGUUUGAUAUUCCUUUUCUUCGAAAUACUGAAAUAGGCAAAAAAACAGCAAUACGGGCUGGGCCUCCGGUUAGUAGGUUAGUCCAAAAAAUGAUAUAAAAGUGUAUAGUAAAGCCCAUAAACAUCCAAAACACGUAAUAUAAUAGCAUGGAACAAUAAAAAUUAUAGAUACGUUGGAUACGUAUCAAGCAUCCCCAAGCUUAAUUCCUGCUCGUCCUCGAGUAGGUAAAUGAUAAAAACAGAAUUUUUGAUGUGGAAUGCUAUGUAGCAUAAUUCUCAAUGUAAUUUUCUUUAUUGUGGCAUGAAUGUUCAGAUCCAAAUGAUUCAAAAUAAAAGUUCAUAUUGACAUAAGAAAUAAUAAUACUUCAAGCAUACUAAUAAAGCAAUCAUGUCUUCUCAAAAUAACAUGGCCAAAGAAAGUUAUCCCUACAAAAUCAUAUAGUCUGGCUAUGCUCCAUCUUCAUCACACAAAAUAUUUAAUCAUGCACAACCCCGAUGACAAGCCAAGCAAUUGUUUCAUACUUUAGUAAUCUCAAACCUUUUUCAACUUUUACGCAAUACAUGAGCGUGAGCCAUGGACAUAGCACUAUAUGUGGAGUAGAAUGGUGGUUGUGGAGAAGAGAAAAAGGAGAAGAUAGUCUCACAUCAACUAGGCGUAUCAACGAGCUAUGGAGAUGCCCGUUAAAAGAUAUCAAUGUGAGUGAGUAGGGAUUGCCAUGCAACGGAUGCACUAGAGCUGUAAAUGUAUGAAAGCUCAACAAAAGAAACUAAGUGGGUGUGCAUCCAACUUGCUUGCUCACGAAGACCUACGGCAUUUUGAGGAAGCCCAUCAUUGGAAUAUAUAAGCCAAGUUCUAUAAUUAAAAAUUCCCACUAGUAUAUGAAAGUGAAAACAUAGGAGACUCUCUAUCAUGAAGAUCAUAGUGCUACUUUGAAGCACAAGUGUGGUAAAAAGGAUAGUAGCAUUGUCCCUUCUCUCUUUUUCUCUCAUUUUUUAUAUUUCUUUUCUUUCUUUUUUUCAUUUUUUCUUUUCUUCCCUUUUUUUCUUUUUCUCUUUUUUUUCCUUUUCUCUUUUUUUUCUUGGUGGGCUUCUUUUGGCCUCUUUUAUUUUAUAAAGUCCGAAGUCUCAUCCCGACUUGUGGGGGAAUCAUAGUCUUCAUCAUCCUUUCCUCACUUGGGACAAUGCUCUAAUAAUGAAGAUCAUCACACUUUUAUUGAUUUACAACACAAGAAUUACAACAAUACUUAGAACAAAAUAUGACUCUAUGUGAAUGCCUCCGAUGGUGUACCGGGAUAUGCAAUGAACCAAGAGUGACAUGUAUGAAAAUUAUGAAGGUGGCUUUGCCACAAAUACGAUGUCAACUACAUGAUCAUGCAAAGAGCAAUAUGACAAUGAUGAUGCGUGUCAUAAUAAAUGGAACGGUGGAAAGUUGCAUGGCAAUAUAUCUCGGAAGGCUAUGGAAAUGCCAUGAUAGGUAGGUAUGGUGGCUGUUUUGAGGAAGGUAAUAGGUGGGUGUAUGAUACCGGCGAAAGUUGCGUGGCACAAGAGAGGCUAGCAAUGGUGGAAGGGUGGAAGUGUGUAUAAUCCAUGGACUCAACAUUAGUCAUAAUGAACUCAUAUACUUAUUGCAAAAAUCUACUAGUCUUUGAAAACAAAUUACUACGCGCAUGCUCCUAGGGGGAUAGAUUGGUAGGAAAAGACCAUCGCUCGUCCCCGACCGCCACUCAUAAGGAAGACAAUCAAUAAAUAAAUUAUGCUCCGACUUCAUCACAAAGCGGUUCACCAUACGUGCAUGCUACGGGAAUCACAAACUUCAACACAAGUAUUCUUUAAAUUCACAAUUACCCAACUAGCACGACUCUAAUAUUACCACCUCUAUAUCUCAAAACAAUUAUCAAGAAUCAAAUUGAUCAUAGCAUCCAAUUCACUUCUUAUGACAGUUUUUAUUAUACCCAACUUGGAUGCCCAUCAUUUUAGGACCAAUUUUAUAACCAUAGAAAAUACCAUGCUGUUCUAAAAUACUCUCAAAAUAAUAUAAGUGAAGCAUGAGAGAUCAACAAUUUCUUCAAAAUUAAGCCACCGCCGUGCUCUAAAAAGUAUAAGUGAAGCACAUAGAGCAAAAACUAUCUAGCUCAAAAGAUAUAAGUGAAGCACAAAGAGUAUUCUAAUAAAUUCUAAUCAUGUGGGUUUCUCCCAAAAGGUGUGUAGAGCAAGGAUGAUUGUGGUGAUCUAAAAAGCAAAUACUAAUAUCAUACAAGACGCUCCAAGCAAAACACAUAUCAUGUGGUCAAUAAAAAUAUAGCUCCAAGUAAAGUUACCGAUAAACGAAGACGAAAGAGGGGAUGCCUUCCCGGGGCAUCCCCAAGCUUUGGAUUUUGGAUAUUAUUGAAUAUCUUGGGGUGCCUUGGGCAUCCCCAAGCUUAGGCUCUUGCCACUCCUUGUUCCAUAGUCCAUCAAAUCUUUACCCAAAACUUGAAAACUUCACAACACAAAACUCAACAGAAACUCGUAAGCUCUGUUAGCGAAAGAAAACAAAACACCACUUCAAGGUACUGUAAUGAACUCAUUCUUUAUUUAUAUUGGUGUUAAACCUACUGUAUUCCAACUUAUCUAUGGUUUAUAAACUAUUUUACUAGCCAUAGAUUCAUCAAAAAUAAGCAAACAACACACGAAAAACAGAAUCUGCCAAAAACAGAACAGUCUGUAGUAAUCUGCAACUAACGCAAACUUCUGGAACCCAAAAAUUCUACCAAAAUAGGAAGUCCUAGGCAAUUUGUCUAUUGAUCUACAGCAAAAAUAAUCAACGGAAAAUCACUUUUCUGUGAUUUACUAAAAAAAAUCUCGUGCGCGCAAAGUUUCUGUUUUUCAGCAGAAUCAAAUUAACUAUCACCAUAGGUUAUCCUAUAGGUUCUUCUUGGCACAAACACUAAUUAAAACAUGAAAACACAUCUAAACAGAAGGUAGAUGAUAAAUUUAUUACUAAACAGAAGCAAAAGCAAAAAACAAAAAUAAAAUUGGGUUGCCUCCCAACUAGCGCUAUCGUUUAACGCCCCUAGCUAGGCAUAAAAGCGAGGAUAGAUCUAAGUAGUGCCAUCUUUGGCACUUAAUUCAUAAGUAGCUCGCAUGAUAGAUUCAUAAGGUAAUUUAACUUUCUUUCUUGGAAAGUGCUCCAUGCCUUUCUUUAAUGGAAAUUGGAAUCUAAUAUUCCCUUCCUUCAUAUCAAUAAUUGCACCAAUCGUUCUAAGGAAAGGUCUACCAAGAAUAAUAGGACAAGAAAGAUUGCAAUCUAUGUCAAGAACGAUAAAAUCUACGGGCACAUAAUUCCUAUUUGCAACAAUAAGAACAUCAUUGAUUCUUCCCAUAGGAUUUUUAAUAGUGGAAUCCGCAAGGUGAAAAUUUAAAGUGCAAUCAUCAAGAUCAUGGAAACCUAGAAUAUCACAUAAAGUUUUCGGAAUCGUGGAAACACUAGCACCCAAAUCACACAAAGCAUAGCACUCAUGAUCUUUAAUUUUAAUCUUUAUAGUAGGUUCCCACUCAUCAUUAAUUUUUCUAGGUAUAGAAACUUCCCAAUUAAGUUUUUCAUCAUAAGAUUGCAUUAAAGCAUCAACAAUAUGUUUGGUAUGAGCUAUAUUUUGACUAUAAGCAUGAGGAGAAUUCAACACGGAUUGCAACAAGGAAAUAUAAUCUACUAAAGAACAAUUAUCAUAAUUAAAUUCUUUGAAAUACAAGAUAGUGGGUUCAAUGCUAUUUAAAGUCUUGACCUCUCCAAUCCCACUUUUAUCAAAUUUAGCAUCAAGAUCUAAAAACUCCGAAUCAUUGGGACGCCUUUUAAAUAAAGUUGACUCAUCUCUAGUCCCAUCAUUAUCAAGAUUCAUAUUCCAAAACAAAGAUCUAAUAGGGGAUACAUCAAUAACUUUAAGAUCUUCAUCAUUAUUUUCAUGAAAACUAGAGGAACACGCCUUUACAAAGCAAUCUUUCUUAGCACGCAAUCUAGCGGUUGUUUCUUUGUACUCAUCAAUGGAAAUUCUCAUAGCUUUGAGAGACUCAUUGAUAUCAUGCUUAGGAGGAGUAGAUCUAAGUUUCAAAGAGUCAACAUCAAGCGAAAGUCUAUCAACAUUCCUAGCCAAAUCAUCGACUUUAAGCAAUUUUUCUUCAAGCAUGGCAUUAAAAUUCUUUUGAGAGAUCAUAAAUUCUUUCACACUAUUCUCAAGAUCACAGGGCAUCUUAUUAAAAUUACCAGAAGAAUUAUUGUAGGAACUUCCAUAAUUAUUAGAGGAAUUACUAGGGAACGGUCUAGGAUUAAAGUUUCCUCUAUAAGCAUUGUUACCAAAAUUAUUCCUACCAACAAAAUUCACAUCCAUAGAUUCAUUAUUAUUCUCAAUCAAAGUAGACAAAGGCAUAUCAUUGGGAUCAAUAGAAGCACUCUUAGUAGCAAACAAUUUCAUAAGUUCAUCCAUCUUUCCACUCAAAACAUUAAUUUCUUCUAUAGCAUGCACUUUCUUACUAGUAGAUCUUUCGGUGUGCCAUUGAGAAUAAUUAGCCAUAAUGUUAUCAAGGAGUUUAGUAGCUUCUCCUAAAGUGAUUUCCAUAAACGUGCCUCCCGCGGCCGAAUCUAAAAGAUUUCUAGAAGCAAAAUUCAAGCCGGCAUAAAAAUUUUGUAUGAUCAUCCAUAAAUUCAAACCAUGAGUAGGGCAAUUGCGAAUCAUCAAUUUCAUUCUUUCCCAAGAUUGGGCAACAUGCUCAUGAUCAAAUUGUUUAAAAUUCAUAAUAUCGUUCCUAAGAGAGAUGAUCUUAGCGGGAGGAAAAUACUUAGCGAUAAAAGCAUCUUUGCACUUAUUCCACGAAUCAAUACUGUUCUUAGGCAAAGACGAAAACCAAACUUUAGCAAGAUCUCUAAGUGAAAACGGAAAUAACUUAAAUUUAACAAUAUCAUUAUCCAUAUCUUUCUUCUUUUGCAUCUCACAUAAAUCAACAAAGUUGUUUAAAUGGGUAGCGGCAUCUUCACUAGGAAGGCCGGAGAAUUGAUCUUUCAUAACAAGAUUCAGCAAAGCAACAUUGAUUUCACAAGACUCAACAUCAUUAAGAGGAGCAACCAGAGUACUAAGGAAAUCAUUAUUAUUGGUAUUGGAAAAAUCACACAAUUUAGUAUUAUCUUGCGCCAUUGCGACAAGCAAUCCAACACACAAGCAACCAAAAAGGCAAGCGAAAGAGAGACGAGAUUGGGAAAGAGAGGGCGAAUAAAACGGCAAGGGUGAAGUGGGGGAGAGGAAAACGAGAGGCAAAUGGCAAAUAAUGUAAAUGCGAGGGAGAUGAGUUUGUGAUGGGUACUUGGUAUGUCUUGACUUGAGCGAAGACCUCCCCGGCAACGGCGCCAGAAAUCCUUCUUGCUACGUCUUGAUCUUGUGUUGGUUUUCCUUGAAGAGGAAAGGGUGAUGCAGCAAUAGUAGCGUAAGUAUUUCCCUCAUUUUUUGAGAACCAGGGUAUCAAUCUAGUAGGAGGCUCCUCAAAAGUCCCACGCACCUACACAAACAAACAAGAACUCGCAACUAACGCAAUAAAGGGGUUGUCAAUCCCUUCACGGCCACUUGCAAAAGUGAGAUCUGAUAGAGAUAAUAUGAUAAGAUAAAUAUAUUUUUGUUAUUUUAUAAUAUGGAUUGGAAAAGUAAAGAUGCAAAUAAAAGUAGAUGGCAAACUUAUAUGAUAAAAGAUAGACCCGGGAGCCAUAGGUUUCACUAGUGGCUUCUCUCAAGAUAACAUAAGUGUUACGGUGGGUGAACAAAUUACUGUCGAGCAAUUGAUAGAAAAGCGAAUAGUUAUGAGAUUAUCUAGGCAUGAUCAUGUAUAAAGGCAUCACGUCCGUGACAAGUAGACCAAAACGAUUCUGCAUCUACUACUAUUACUCCACACAUCGACCGCUAUCCAGCAUGCAUCUAGAGUAUUAAGUUCAUAAAGAACAGAGUAAUGCAUUAAGAAAGAUGACAUGAUGUAGAGGUAUAAACUCAUGCAAUAUGAUAUAAACCCCAUCUUUCUAUCCUCGAUGGCAACAAUACAAUACGUGCCUUGCUACCCCUGCUGUCACUGGGAAAGGACACCGCAGGAUUGAACCCAAAGCUAAGCACUUCUCCCAUUGCAAGAAAUAUCAAUCUAGUAGGCCAAACCAAACUAAUAAAUCAAAGAGACUUGCAAAGAUAACUUAAUCACACAUAAAAGAAUUCAGAGGAGAUUAAAAUAUUUCUCAUAGAUAAACUUGAUCAUAAACUCACAAUUCAUCGGAACUCGACAAACACACCGCAAAAAGAGUUACAUCGAAUAGAUCUCCAAGAAGAUCGAGGAGAACUUUGUAUUGAGAUUCAAAGAGAGAGAAGAAGCCAUCUAGCUAAUAACUAUGGACCCGAAGGUCUGUGGUAAACUACUCACAACUCAUCGGAAGGGCUAUGGUGU
rnacentral:lncRNA from 1 species